AUGGCGCCGUCCAUCACCAUUGCCGCCGCGCCGCCGGCCUCUGGCUGGAAGAGCGGCCGGAAGGCCGUGGCGGCGCCGGCGGAGGGCGAGGCGGAGGCGGAGGCGCUGCUGCUGCGUCGCCGGAACGCCGAGCUGGAGCGGGAGGUGGCGCUGCUGCGGGCGGAGCUGGAGGCCGCGCGGCUGCGCGCCGAGGCCGCGGAGGAGGCCGAGGAGCGGCUGUGCGCGCAGCUCGGCGAGGCCGAGUGCGAGGCCCUCGAGCUCGCGCGCGCGUACCAGGGCCACGUCCAGGAGCUCGCGCGGGAGCUCGCCGCCGCACGCAGCAGCUAG
rnacentral:rRNA from 1 species